GAUGGGGAGAGAGAGAGAGGGAAUAAAAGCAUUGGGGCGGUUUAAUGGCUAUCACUUGUUAUUGACUACGAUCUUGUACGUUAAGUUCCAAUGGCCGGUGGAUCGGGUCCACAAGCGCAGGGAGAGUCAAGUUGGAAAGGUGGAUAGCUAAGAGAGGACUAGUUGAACUAAGACUCUCACCAUCCAAACCCACCGCCCAUUGAACAGUUCAGAUAUUAUGUUUAAUUAUAUGUUUGUUUUAUAUUUUCUAGGAAAUAGUAUCAGAUUUUGAGCGUCACGCCCACUUGCCGGUGGGCCGGAGGUGCUUGAGCGGAGGGAAGUAGGUUAGAGUUUUGACUAAUAACUUAUCUUAAAUUCUCUCCAUUCAGAUUUAAUUUUUUAUUUAAGUUUAAUUUUUGAAUUUAACUAUUGAAAAAAUAUAACUUCCUCAGAAUGCUUCAUUAUAAAUGUUCAAUAGUGAUGUGAUAUAUUAUCAUCAGGCGUCUAAAUUAUGUUAUUUCAGGUAUAGUAAUCUCUUUUAAAUUAUUUAAAAAAAAAGUUUUUUCUUUCCAUAGUUUGCGAUAAAGUUUAGAAAGAGAGCUUUUCUCCUCAUAGAUUUUUUCUAGCUAGCAGUAAGGUGAGGUCCAAAGAAACCGCUACACAGAGAGCGGAGGGAUCUCUUUCAGCCCCAGCACAGAGAGCGAAGUCAGACAGAAGAUCAGAGGGAUACUGCAAAUACCAGAGCAGGAAGGGACGCUUACCUACCUAGGCGUUUGAUG
rnacentral:lncRNA from 1 species